GCACACCCCUGGCUGCCAUGUGAGAAGCUCUCUGGUCUUAGCAGCAGGCCGGCUUCCAGCUCCCGGGCUGCCCAUAUUCUCGGAAGAGUCACAUACUUGCUCCGACUCCCAGGCCACAGGCCUCACUUAACCUGUGGACGCUUUCCUUCUUUUUCUUCGUGAAGUUUAUUCUAUGUAUUUCAUGAGACAGAGCAUACACUCAGGAGAGAGACAGGACCCCCAACAGGGUCUCAUCACAGGGGGAGCCCCUUCGUCCAGCCCUCCCACUAGGCAGCGUCCUGGGACUUGCCAGACCUGUUUCAAGUUGACUCGGGGUCUGAACCCGCGCUCAGCUGUGCGGCCUGCAGCACGGUAGACUGGAAUGCGACCACCUGUGCCACUGCGGCUGAGUCUGUACGCUCCCUCGAGGCAUCGCACCCCCACUGGCUCCAUGGUGAGCGAGUAGUUACUGAGUAACCACCAGACGCCUGGCUCUGCGCUGGAUUCCACAAACCACCCAGCAAUGGAAGAUGCAGUUCCUCAGCCCAAGGAGCUUAACAUGGGAGAGAAAACUAGCAGAGAAGCAAGAAGACAGAGAAUGAAUGCAAGCCAGUGUCUCCAGCCGGGUACUGAUGCCCUAUCUUCCCCCAGCCUU